GCAAGAGGUUUUCGUUGUUGUUUAUUUGCAUGUAGCUUUCAUUACUGAAGCAGUGGAAGUAAAACUAGCUUUAUGUGCCUGAAGUGUCAAGGAUGGUUAAGGACGGCCUGGUGCAAUUUGAGCUUUGGAAGAGAUUUACCAAAUGGGAUGAGUUUGAAGAGGAUUGGUCAUUAUCUUGGAUGUGACUUUCCAUGAUGGACAUUGUGAUGCACAGUUCAGACUCUCUUUAGGGAAUGGAAAAAUAUAGUUAUUCCUCCUGGGAUUGCAGCAGGUGUUGGUAUCUGACUCCCCCAGCUAGAGGAUGGACUCUGAAGGCCAAG